GUCCACACCGUAAACGCUGUCUACUAGCUGUGUGUGCCUUUAAGGCGUGCGUAGCGAAGCUAACGCGCUAAGUAGACCGCCUGGGGAGUACGGCCGCAAGGUUAAAACUCAAAUGAAUUGACGGGGGCCCGCACAAGCGGUGGAGCAUGUGGUUUAAUUCGAUGCAACGCGAAGAACCUUACCUGCCCUUGACAUCCUGCGAACUUUCUAGAGAUAGAUUGGUGCCUUCGGGAACGCAGUGACAGGUGCUGCAUGGCU
rnacentral:rRNA from 1 species